GACAGAACACAAAGGGACAGUAGAAACAUGACAGGAUAGUACAUAUAGAGACUGUGAGGACAGGAUAUACAAUGACAUGGCCAAUGGCCAUAAGGACUUGAUAUCAGGUGUCUACAGGAAUCACAGAACCUUUCAACCUUCAACAAUCAGUGGAUUUACACUAAUAGGUAGUAUAUUGACCAUAGGUCCAUUAAAGAAACACUCUAAACAUGGUGUUGAGUUAAUAGUGCCAAUAGUGCCCUGCAACUGUGCCAUGGUAAGUAGUCAAACUGUUUUAGUGUGGUUUUCCAAAUUACCUGGGUACUUCAGGC